GCCAGGUGUGGUGGCGCACCCCUGUAAUCCCAGCUACUUGGGAGGCUGAGGCAGGGAAAUUGCAAGUUCAAAGAUGGUAAAGGCAAUUUAGCAAACCCUGUCUCAA
rnacentral:sRNA from 1 species